GUCGAAUUUCCAGCAAUUGUCGAUCAUUUGCUAAUUAUUUGUUAAUUAGUCUGACUUUUUAGUGCAUCAAUUUAUGAGAGAUUAAUGAACAGACAGAUUCUGGUAUUUAACAAACUCUCUCGGCAGCAGUUGAGAGUUCUGUUCCUUCCUGCUGUGAUCGUAAUUGCUGUUAUGAAAAGUCAAACUCCAUUGAGACACUUUUACAACCAUGUCCUCUAGUGUAUCAUAUUCCUGGGACAACACACGAGGUCUCUGGGACAACACACGAGGUCUCUGGGACAACACACGAGGUCUCUGGGACAACACACGAGGUCUCUGGGACAACACAUGAGGUCUCUGGGACAACAUGAGGUCUGUGGGACAACACACAAGGUCUCUGGGACAACACAUGAGGUCUCUGGGACAACACAUGAGGUCUCUGGGACAACACAUGAGGUCUGUGGGACAACAUGAGGUCUGUGGGACAACACACAAGGUCUCUGGGACAGCACAUGAGGUCUCUGGGACAACACAUGAGGUCUCUGGGACAACACAUGAGGUCUGUGGGACAACAUGAGGUAUCUGGGAUAGCACAAGGUCUCUGGGACAGCACAUGACGUCUCUGGGACAAUGUAAACCUUCAGCGACAGCAGCGUAAUACUCACUAUCUAGCCUACGUUUCAUUACUGUGGGAUCCUCUAACUAAGAUACUGUAUGUCCUUUUUUCCUUGAUUCAACUAGG
ensembl:lncRNA